rnacentral:tRNA from 1 species
GGUGGCAUGGCUCAGAGUAGGGCAUUUGACUGCAGAUCAAGAGGUCCCUGGUUAAAAUCCAGCACAGCCC